UUAAUACUUCAGGGCAGGGUGCAAUUCCCGACCGGUGGUAAUCUGUGUAGGCAGUAGUCCACGACUCGCAUAGCGAUCGAUUUGGUGAGAUUCCAAGACCGACAGUAUAGUCUGGUAUGAAGAAGAAAAGG
rnacentral:ncRNA from 2 species